GAUAAACGCUAGCGGCAGGCUUAACACAUGCAAGUCGAGGGGCAGCAUAGAUUGUAGCAAUACAAUUGGUGGCGACCGGCGCACGGGUGCGUAACGCGUAUGCAACCUACCCGUCACAGGGGGAUAAUCCGGAGAAAUCUGGUCUAAUACCCCAUAACAUAUGGAUCGGCAUCGGUUCAUGUUGAAAUUUUCGGAGGUGACGGAUGGGCAUGCGUAGCAUUAGCUUGUUGGUGAGGUAACGGCUCACCAAGGCGGCGAUGCUUAGGGGGACUGAGAGGUUUUCCCCCCACACUGGUACUGAGACACGGACCAGACUCCUACGGGAGGCAGCAGAGAGGAAUAUUGGUCAAUGGGCGCAAGCCUGAACCAGCCAUGCCGCGUGCGGGAUGACGGCUCUAUGAGUUGUAAACUGCUUUUGUACGAGGGUAAAGUGGGUUACGUGUAACCUUUUGAAAGUAUCGUACGAAUAAGGAUCGGCUAACUCCGUGCCAGCCGCCGCAGUAA
rnacentral:rRNA from 1 species